AGUGUGAAUGACAUUUCGUUAAAGAAUUUUCACCUUCGAGACAGGAAGAUGACCAAUACAAAUACUAUGUAAAGCAAUUAAGUACCGGAUUACUUUAAAAGAUGAGUUUCAUGUACUAUCGUGCCAGAAUUUUAGUGCCAAAAUUAGAAAAAUUAUUUAAUAAUGUUUUCUUCUCGACAAUAUAUAUUAUAAUAAGGCAAGAUGAAAAAUUUCGACAGUUUGCAUAAAAAUAUUUCAAAAAUAAGCAUCGCCUUUUUGUGACUUUUACUAUAAUACAUAUAUGCUGAUAGCUAUUUCGAAAAAUCAUCAACAUAAAAGCGAAGUCCAAAGUUGAAGGAAAUAUCUUUCACCAUUAAAAACUGCAAAUAGUACAACAGAAAUUCGAGUAACAACACCGCAAGCAAUGGCAACCACUCUGUGGCAAAGAAAACACUUGAUGCACUGAGUGUUCGCAAAAAUAGCAGAUGGUGCCAGAAAGCAAGAAAAGAAUGAGAAUGGAGCUUAAGUGCCUCGACUGUAAAAUUGUUUCUGCUUUAUAAAUAUAUAUAUGUGCAUAUAUACCCAUAUACUUUUAUACACAUAUAAGAAGGCAGAACCCUCGGAAAUUUGUGAACGACCGUCUAGUUAGUUAGUUGGCGGAGAACGUAGCAAAACCAAAACAUGGCUCGUUAACGAAAACUGACAUGGUGUAGUGUUGUGGCCAAACGAUAUUUAACAACAAACAUUGUUGAUAUUUUUAGGCUGAAACGUGAUUCUUUGUCGUAUGCGUGAUACGAGGGCUGUUCGAAGCGGGGUGUAGAAUUUAAAUUCAUUUGAUUGGUACUAACGAACAAAACAGAAGUCAGCAACAGUUGAGAGAAACCGAGAAAGGCUCUUCGAUGAUUAAAUAUACACAUAAGCCUAAAAACUUUGUUCUUUGGAAAAGCACUUAAAAGCUUGGAUCGAAAGUUUCAAGUGUACAAGGGAGUUGCAUGUCGAAACCGGAGAAAUCUACAACUACUUGCUACAAAAUAUGCUUCUCCAUAAGACUAUUCAUUACUUUGCACGCGCUUUGAAGCUCACUCUGCUUACUAAUCUUUUUGGAUAGUCCAACCCUUUCUUUCAAUGACAUUGACAGUUACCUCCAAUAACUUCUUAUUUCAUAGUAACGGAUAUAAAUAUUAUAUUCUCUUACUAAGGUAUUAAGUUGGUCUAUUCAAAUAAGAAAUAAAAAAUCACAGUCCUCAAUAAAAUUAAGUUGUAAAACUGUGCGGCAAUAACAUGAACUCAUUAACAGUAUGCUAGCAAAAUGAGAAGCAAUCUCUCAGUCGUCCUCCAACUUCAAACUUUUUCCCGACAAAUCAAAAGUAAUUUGCAAACCUUUUAUUUAAAAAUUUUUUUUAUUGUUAUUAUUCAUCAUUAUUUUCUCAUUCACAUAUCAUCAAGAACAAUUAACACUUUGACCUUUUGAAUAUUUGCAAAUAUACACCAACAUUUGCCGUUUUGUAAAUACAAUAAAUAACUUUACUUAUGUACAUAAGGUAUAUGUAUGUAUACAUAUAGUCGUAUAUAUAUUUAUUCAUGGCUACAGCCGGUAUACUGGUAUUUAAACCUUUUUCGGUGCGGGCAUUCAAUUCUAACUCAAUUAAUUUCCAAGAAAUUGCUUUGCAAAUUUUAAUUUCCCUUCUUUUCUCCAGCAGUCGUUUGAGUGGCCGGGAAGUAAUCAAAUAAUUUUCAAACUUUAAACUUUUCAAAUUCAGCCAUACGAUUUAUAAAGUUACCCAGCAGACCAAAAACGUAUUUUAUUUGACUGAUAUUUGCAUGAAUGACAUGUAAGAUCAGAAACAUAGUAAUUUAAACUCACUCGAGAUUCAUGUCAUUAUGUAAAUGACCAAAACCUGACUGUUAAGGUCGAAACGAUAAGUGAACCAUAUAUUUUCAAGCACAAGCUAAAACGAAACAGUCAAGCGAUGUCAAUAACGCCGGACGUUGUCUCAUUAUGUUUGUUCGAAAAUGUAUGACGCAGGUGCAUUCCAUCACAGUAUAAGUCAAGUUAUUUUAUUAUGAAAAAAAAAGAUUCACUAAACGUCUGCUGUCGAAAAUUGAUGGCAUUAACAGGCCUGAUCUCCUGAUUCAAAUCCUCUGGACUGUUUCUUUUUUUGAAAGGCAAUUUGUUUGCCAUCAAUUCUCAUGCUAUUAACGAGCUCAUGAUUCGUGCCGAAUUCAUCGUUUGGGAGUGGUGUAUAACAUUUUUCGAUUAAAUUUUGACUCUUCGAAGAAAGUCAAAGAGUUAUAUUUCAAUGCUGCCAAGAGAUUAACAUAUGCUUCUAAAUUGUGAAAUUUACUAUGACAGUAUAAAUGAGUAUUAAUGAAAACCUCGGGGGUCAAAAUAAAAACCUUUACUUCGCAUAUAUUUAUAUCAGAAAUAAAUACAUACACCUGAUGGCUGCAAAGCCUGGUUCCAUACAUGGUGUUGCAGUUGACGUUCAGAGUUAUGUGAAAAGGCAACUUGUUUAACUGAUUAAGUUUGACACAAAUUGGUUCAUUUCAACAGUCGCAUCGAUACCUUUUUUUCAUAGUUUCCAACAACUUUUUUUAAAUUAAAUUAAAUAUAAGAAUUACUAAGCGCUUGGCAGCUAUUUUUUACGACGAGAAAAGUUUGUAGGAACCCAGCGAAUGACGCUCCAAAAAUGAGCUGAAACUGAAAAACAAACAAAAUUCACUGAAGGCCAUCCCAGUCGAGACUUACAACAAGUGAUUGGAAAAUGGGAUUAAACGUUGCCAUGUUUGGCUUUGGAGACAAUUUCGAAGGCGUUAAUAAAUAUUUGUAUUCAAAUACAUGGAAAUAAAAGUUUUCUGUCGGUCCGGUUCAAAUUUGAUCAGUUGAUAUAUUACCUGUUAAUUACUCAUUAUUUAUUAAGUUCUGGAUUCAUCGGGUUAAACAUUUUUAGACGUCCUCCAGCCGUUGUUCAACGGCGUUUUCUAUCGAAAGAGUUAACCAGCAUUGCAGUUAUCCGACAACUGGACUGUAUCGAUAGAUGAAGAAAUCGGCUGGAAACAAAAAAAUUUUAUAUUGAUUUACAAAAGGGGAGACCAAAGUAACAGCGGCAUCUAAGACCGGAAAGCUGCUCCUGCAUAAUCCGAUGCGAAGCGGAUGCUUAAGAAGCUUUAUUUGCUUUUUGAAGUAAAAACUAAAAAUUGUGGAAUUCUGUAAGCAAAUCUAAAACAAGAACCUAACAGGAACCUACCAAAUUUGUCGGGAAGAUGGGAGAAGGUAACUUCAUAAUA